rnacentral:tRNA from 3 species
CGGGGAGUGGCGCAGCCUGGUAGCGCGCCUGCUUUGGGAGCAGGAUGUCGCAGGUUCGAAUCCUGUCUCCCCGACCA